rnacentral:rRNA from 1 species
AGUGAACGCUGGCGGUAGGCCUAACACAUGCAAGUCGAACGGCAGCACAGUAAGAGCUUGCUCUUACGGGUGGCGAGUGGCGGACGGGUGAGGAAUACAUCGGAAUCUACUUUUUCGUGGGGGAUAACGUAGGGAAACUUACGCUAAUACCGCAUACGACCUACGGGUGAAAGCAGGGGAUCUUCGGACCUUGCGCGAUUGAUUGAGCCGAUGUCGGAUUAGCUAGUUGGCGGGGUAAAGGCCCACCAAGGCGACGAUCCGUAGCUGGUCUGAGAGGAUGAUCAGCCACACUGGAACGGAGACACGGUCCAGACUCCUACGGGAGGCAGCAGUGGGGAAUAUUGGACAAGGGGCGCAAGCCUGAUCCAGCCAUACCGCGUGGGUGAAGAAGGCCUUCGGGUUGUAAAGCCCUUUUGUUGGGAAAGAAAAUCAGCAGGUUAAUACCCCGCUGUUCUGACGGUACCCAAAGAAUAAGCACCGGCUAACUACGUG